rnacentral:misc_RNA from 1 species
UCACGGUUUACACCGGCAGUUUCGUUAGAGUUCCCGGCAUUACCCGCUGGCAACUAACGAUAAGGGUUGCGCUCGUUAUGGGACUUAACCCGACACCUCACGGCACGAGCUGACGACAACCAUGCAGCACCUUGUAAAAAGCCCCGAAGGGAAUCCCGAUUUCUCGGAAAUGCACUCUACAUUUAAGCCCAGGUAAGGUUCCUCGCGUAUCAUCGAAUUAAACCACAUGUUCCUCCGCUUGUGCGGGCCCCCGUCAAUUCCUUUGAGUUUUAGCCUUGCGGCCGUACUCCCCAGGCGGGGUGCUUAAUGCGUUAGCUUCGGCACGGGGGGAGUCGACACCCCCCACACCUAGCACCCAUCGUUUACAGCGUGGACUAC